UACGUAGGGUGCGAGCGUUGUCCGGAAUUAUUGGGCGUAAAGAGCUCGUAGGCGGUUUGUUGCGUCGGCCGUGAAAACCUGCAGCUUAACUGUGGGCCUGCGGCCGAUACGGGCAGACUUGAGUUCGGUAGGGGAGACUGGAAUUCCUGGUGUAGCGGUGAAAUGCGCAGAUAUCAGGAGGAACACCGGUGGCGAAGGCGGGUCUCUGGGCCGAUACUGACGCUGGGGAGCGAAAGCGUGGGGAGCGAACAGG
rnacentral:rRNA from 1 species